rnacentral:rRNA from 1 species
UAUCUCUGUAGAGUCUGCAUAUCAAUAAGCGGAGGAAAAGAAACUAACAAGGAUUCCCCUAGUAACGGCGAGUGAAGCGGGAAGAGCUCAAAUUUGAAAUCUUAAAGGGCUUCCCUUUACGAAUUGUAGUUUAAAGAAGUGUUUUCUGUUGGUGUUUUGGUAAAAGUUCUUUGGAAUAGGACAUCAUAGAGGGUGAGAAUCCCGUAUUUGACCAUUACUUUCCAGCGUUGUGAUACACUUUCAAAGAGUCGGAUUGUUUGGGAAUGCAGUCCAAAAUGGGUGGUAAAUUUCAUCUAAAGCUAAAUAUUGGCGAGAGACCGAUAGCGAACAAGUACCGUGAGGGAAAGAUGAAAAGAACUUUGAAAAGAGAGUUAAACAGUACGUGAAAUUGUCAAAAGGGAAGCGUUUGACACCAGUGUUGUUUUCUCGAAAAUCAAUUAAAAAAGGCAGGAUUUUGUGUUGUAUUGACUUUAUCAGCUUUCUGCACUCUUUUCUUGUCUUUUUUAAUGCACUUUUCGUUUAACAAGUCAACAUCAAUUUCUUUUGUUGUAAAAGGGUCAUUGGAAGGUGGCUUUCUUUUCGGAGAAAGUGUUUAUAGCCUUUGGCCUCUGCAAUCGGAGAGAUUGAGGUCUGCAGCGUAGAUCCUUCGGGGUUAGAUACAUUUGUGCUAAGUUAUAGCCUUUCAUAGACAACUUGUUGACUAUGAUCAGUCAUGUAGCUUACUCGCUUAUGCUAUUUUACCUACGCUUAGGAUGUUGACGAUCAGCUGAGCGCG